UACGGAGGGUGCAAGCGUUAUCCGGAUUCACUGGGUUUAAAGGGUGCGUAGGUGGGCAGGUAAGUCAGUGGUGAAAUCUCUGGGCUUAACCCGGAAACUGCCGUUGAUACUAUCUGUCUUGAAUGUAGUGGAGGUGAGCGGAAUAUGUCAUGUAGCGGUGAAAUGCUUAGAUAUGACAUAGAACAUCCAUUGCGAAGGCAGCUCGCUACACUAUUAUUGACACUGAGGCACGAAAGCGUGGGGAUCAAACAGG
rnacentral:rRNA from 1 species